AGGUGGAAGCGUAGCGAUACGUGGAGCUGACGAAUACUAAUCGAUCGAAGACUUAAUCAAUUU
rnacentral:rRNA from 1 species